GCAAGUAUUCAAAGGACCAAGACAACGUAAUAUUCCCUCGGUACAGAGCCAAGUGUGAUCAGCUGUUUCGAACAAACAGCAGGACGUGGUCAUCUCUGCCAAGGUGGGAAGUGGAUGCAAUUCCGAAAUGUCCUUGAACCAACCGACUUGCUCAGCCAGAAGGCAGUGAAGAGUUUGCAAAGAGUUAGGAAUCACAUGCAGAGCAGAGGGAGUCAUCUACAAUCAAGAAACAAUAAGCAAAGUGAACCGAAAGGUUAGAGAUCAGAAUGUUAAACCAACAGCAAAUGAUGCCUCAAAAUUAAACACGGAGCAGCAAUUAAGGUCACAGACCCAACCUCGCAGUAAUACAAACCUAAGAUGUUGGCGAUAUAUCAACCUUUUCAAAGCAGUUCAUGAACCAGGUGACUCAAUAACCUCGGAGAAAGUGAGGACUGGAGAUCAGAGCUGAAAAAUGUGUUGCUGGAAAAGUACGGCAGGUCAGACAGCAUCCAAGGAGCAGGAGAAUCGACGUUUCAGGCAUAAGCCCUUCUUCCUGAUGCAAAUGGGUAUUUUGCAUCAACAUUCACUACAAAAGUGCCACCUCCCCUCCUCGAACAAGCGAUCAUAGGGAAGAUGGAGGCCCUGGGGUAAAUUACAUAUUUUUUAUUACUCACUCAUGGCACAUGGGUAUCACCCACUGGACCCAGCACUUAUUGCCCAACUCAUCCCUAGUUGCUGCAGUCAAUGUGCUAGAGAUAGACACACACUGGAUGGAAAGUUAUCUUCAACAGUAAACAGUCAUUCCCUUGGUGGCAAACAAUCUGUCCCUGCUGAGUUUGUCCAACAAUUUCUGUGUUUCUUUUUAUUUCUGACACACAGUGCCUGAAGAAAGCUAAUGGAAUGCUGGCCUUUAUAUCAAGAAAACUGGAGUACAGGAUUGCAGAAGGGAUGCUGCAGUUAUACAAAACCCUGGUUAGACCCCACUUGGAGCAGGUCUAGGUACCAUACCUGAGGAAGAAUUGAUUAGCCUGGGAGGGAGCACAGCGUGAGUUUACAAGAUUGAUACCUGGUCUUCAUGGGGUUAAGUUAUGAGGAGAGAUUACACAAAUUAAGCCUGUUCUCUCCAGAAUUUACAUGGUUCAGGGAUGAUUUGAUCAAAGAUAUUAACAGGAAAAGGCAGGGUAGAUAAAUUGAAAGUGUUUCCACUGUUUGGUAAUCCUAGAAAUCGGGAGGGCACAGCCAGACAAUUAGGACCAGACUGUUCAGGAGAGACGUUAGGAAGUACUAAUAUGCACACAGGCAGGGGGAGGUUUGGAACUCUCUUCCACAAACAGCAGGCAUUGCUGGAUCAGUUGUUAAUUUUAAAUCUGAAAGAUAAAAACUUUGCUGAACAGAAAACUAAAGGGGAGAAGGGUCAAAGGCAGGUCUAUGGAGUCAAGUCACAGAUCAGCCAUUGCAUGGUGGAACAGGCUCAAGGGCCUCCUCCGUGGCCUCCUCCUGCUCCUUUAUACGAAUAUUCCACAUUAAUAAAUCAUGGAACUGCCUGCAGUUACAAAGUGACAUUUCCACACACCGGAGCAAUUAGUGAUUUCAAAUAGAAACUGAAAGUCCAAAUAUUUUAUUUUCACACAUUUCGGAUCCCCACCAUCCUCUGGGUGAAACAAUCCUCAAAUCAUUCUCGAAAGCUCUUACCCUUCACUUUAAAACGAUUGUAGGGUCAUAGAGUCACACAGCAAGGAAUCAGACUCUUCAGUCCAACUAGUCCAUACCAUCCAUAAUCUCAAACUAAACUAGUCCAACUUGUUUGCACUUGGCCCUUUCUUAUUCUCCAACCUUUCUUAUUCUUGUACUAAUCUAAAUGUCUUUUAAAUAUUGUAACUGCCCCCGUAUCUGCCACUUCCUCUGAAUGUUCAAUCCACAUGUGAACCACUCUCCAUCAAAAAAUGUUUCUCUUCUAAACUGAAAAAUAUGUCCCUGGUCUUGAAGUCCCCCAUCCUAAGGAAAAGAUAUCUGCCAUUCACCUCAUCUAUGCCCAUCAUGAUUUCAUAAACCUCCUUCCCUCUCAAACUUCUACUCUCCAGUGAAAAUAGUCCCAGUCCAUCCAGCCUCUCCUUAUAACUCAAAUUCUCCAUUCCCAACAACAUCCUGGUGUAUCUUUUCUGAACCCUCUCCUCCUUAAUAAUGUCCUUCCUCUAAAAGGACAGCCAGAACUGGACACAAUACACCAGAACAGGCUUCACCAGUGUCCUGUACAACCACAACAUGGUGUCCAAACUCCAACACUCAAUGGGCUGAGCCUUCUGAACACUUCUCAAAUACCCUGUCUACCAGUAACACAAACUCUAAAGAAUUAUAGUCCUGAAACCCUCGGGUGCUCUGCUCGACAACACUACCAAUCUUACACACCUCUGUCAUGUCCUCCUCCCCCAUCAACCUUCUCUGUUGUAAAGGAAACAACCCAAACUUCGCUCCAACACUUCCAGGAAAAGAUUUAUUUUUGUGGAUCUUCCCAAUCAGAUAAGUACCAGCAUGAACGCUGACAAAUACGUGAUGGUGUAGGAUCAGCAGCACACAGAAUGAUAUUCACCUUUUGAUCGACUUGACCUGAUCUGUGUAUUCGAAAUUUCUUGCAGGUCUGUCCUCACUCGCGCCCUCAGCUUAUUCUUCCAUCGCCUCACUUGAAAUGAAAUAUUUCUAGAUCAUUACCCAACCAAGUUCCAAUCCUGCUCGUGACAACAAUUUGCUGUGGUUUGCGUACAAAAAUCCCUGGCAAUGAGAUUACUGAGCCAAGGUCCCAGGGAAUGACCUCCUGGAAUUGUCCGGAAUGCAGCUCAGAACUUGUACGUUCAUAGAAUCAUAAAAUUUUACUGUACGGAAGGAGACCAUUCGUGUCUGUACCAGCUCCUGAACAAGCUACCCAGCCAGUCCCAUUCUCCAACCCUAUCGCCGUAGCCCUCUAACAUCAUCCCUUUCAAAUUUAUAUUCAGCUCUCUUUUCGAACUUCCUAUGCAAUCCACCUCCACCGCUGUCCCAAGCAGCACAUUCCAAAUCCAACAACCUAAAUAAGUUUCUCAUCAUCUCACUUUCUCACUGACAAUCUUGAAAUUCUGACCAGCCAGUUACUAAUAGACCAAUGAGUGGGAAACAAUAACUUACUUUCCCGUCAGAAUCGUUCAAACUUUCAACAUCUCAAUUAGGUCAACAAUUCAUCUUCCUGCUCGAAAGAGAAUAAGCUCAAUCUCUUGAACCUUUCCCUGAAUCUAAAAUCCCUCAUCGUUGUGAUCAUUCGCGUAAAUGUCCUUCACACUGUCUCCAGGAUGGCUGGUUUGGAAUGUGGAGCAACAUCGACAGCAUGGGUUUGAAUCUCUCACUGACUGACGUUACCUUGAAGGACUGUCCUCCUCCACUCCUCCCCUUGUGUGAGGCAUGGUAACCCUCAGGCUGAACCACUUCCUACCAGUUAUCACUCUCUCCCUCUGACACUCCAGCUGAGGUCCACCAGUGUCUUUUACAACUUCAAAAUCACCUCCUUGUUUUCUGGCUCAAUGCCCCUAUUAAUAAAGCUGAGGAUGCUGUGUGUUUUAUAAACUGCUCUCUCCAGUGUUAUGCCACCUUCACUGAUCUGUGGAUAUAUGCCCCUAACUCCUUCUGCUCUUGCACCCCAUUUAGAAUUUGACCCCCUACUUUGUAUUGUCUCUUCGUUUCUUUCAAAACAUGCUUCAACAAAUUUGUGUUGAAUCACUUUUGCCUUUAUUUUCCAAUGUUCACGAAUUAAAAGCUAUUUUGUUCAAUCAAACUUAAUUUUCUGCCUCCUAGUGGUUUUGCUACAAACUAACAAUAUAACUAGAAUCAGGUUGAGUACAUUUGGCCCAUCAGGAACCUGCUCCACUAUUCCAUACGAUCGCAGCUGAUCCCAUCUCAGCCUCAACUCCACUUUCCUGGAAACACUCCCUUUGACCCAUCACUGAUCAACAAUCUAUCUGUCUCCUCCUCCAAUUAAUGCAGUGUCCUGAGUGAGGGGGUUGGGAGGAGUGAUCCCACAGAUUUACAACCCUCUCCUCAUUGAAGAGAAUUCAUUCCUCCUUACCUCUGUUUUCAGUCUGCGCAGCCCCUUAUCCUGAAAUGACAACCUCUUGUUCUAGAUACUCCCACAUGAGCAAACAUCCUCUCUCCAUCUCCUUUAUCAAUACCCCCUUUACCAUUUUAUAACCUUCAGUUAGAUCACCUCUCUUACAAACUCCAGAGAAACAGCUCAAUCUCUCAUCUAAGACAAACCCUUCAUCUCUGGAAAUGAUUGAGUGAAUCUCCUCUGAACUACCUCCAGUAUAAACUGCAUCUGUCCUCAAGUAAAGAGAUCAAAAUUGUAGCAGUCUCUGCUCAUAAGACUAAACUUUCAUCUUGGCAAUCAAUUCAGUGAUCUCCUUUGAACUCCCUCCAAUUCAACUACAUCCCUCCUUAUGUAAAGGGACCAAAACUGUCUGCAGUAUUCCAGAUGUGGAAACCCCAAUCACUUGUACAAUUGCAGGAACAAUUACCUACUU